CAUAUCACCAAAAGGUCAAUUCAGUGAAACCGCCAGCGUGCUUUUCUGAUGGAGCUGACAGUGGGGCUUCGCUCCGCGUGUUCACAGCCCCAGCCAGAUUUGUCAGUGAUGUCGCCAGAAUCCCAGAGGGUGAGUCAGAGCUUACAUCUGAGUUCAUGGAAAAUCAGAAGUAUCUGGAGGCAAGGCCCGCCGCUGCCCGUCUCUUUCCUGGGGAGCCCAGGGUCCCUCUCAGGCGCUCCACUGCCCUGGAAGCCCGCGGGGUCCACAGUGGUCUCCUCUUCCUCUUCACCUGCGGGAACGACAAGAGCCAGGGCUCAGCUGAUGACACGUUUAGAAACGCCACUCCAACUGGCUCAAGUAACCAGCAAACUGCAAGGUGCAGACAGGCUUGGAAAGGCUUGAUCCGAGGCCAUGACAGGCUCUCCCGCUCUCGCUCCCUCCCUCUCAUUUACCCCGACGCUCCUCUGGGCUUUACAUGACGCGGAUGCUCAGGCGCUGGGAAAGCCGCCCUGGCAGCUCCACCUUUAGUCUCAUUCUGUGGGUCAGAAGGGAGGAAAACCUCCCUUACACCAGACUCUGAAAUCUCAAGGAGACUCGGAUGGGUGCUGCCUGGACCACACUGCCCCGCUUCAGUGGGGAAGGGAGAGUGCAGACAAACAGGGUGCCAGUAACUGCCCCCCCCACUGCAGUGACUGUGGUCCUCUUGAGGGCACACACAUCUGAGUUGCUCACCCAGGUCACCUGGACCGCCAACUGCCUCGCACAUAACAGGGGCCCCAUAAAAUGUUUUCUUAUGGAAUUAAAUGGACACUUAAUUACCUCCA